UGAGGAAUAUUGGGCAAUGCCCGAAAGGGUGACCCAGCAACGCCGCGUGGAGGAUGAAGGUCGUAAGAUUGUAAACUCCUGUUAGAGGGGAAAAAUACCUAAGUUUGGAGCUUAGUAUGACUGUACCCCCAGAGAAAGCCCCGGCUAACUACGUGCCAGCAGCCGCGGUAAUACGAAGGGGGCAAGGGUUGUCCGGAUUUACGGGGGGUAAAGGGCGCGCAGGCGGAAUGGAAAGUCAGUGGUGAAAUCCUACAGCUUAACUGUAGAACUGCCUUANAUACUUUCAUUCUUGAGUUCGGAGAGAGAGACGGAAUUCCAGGUGUAGUGGUGAAAUACGUAGAUAUCUGGAAGAACACCAGUUGCGAAGGCGGUCUCUUGGUCCGACACUGACGCUGAGGCGCGAAAGCGUGGGGAGCAAACA
rnacentral:rRNA from 1 species